AUUGAACGCUGGCGGCAGGCCUAACACAUGCAAGUCGAACGGUAACAGGAAGACGCUUGCUUCUUUGCUGACGAGUGGCGGACGGGUGAGUAAUGUCUGGGAAACUGCCUGAUGGAGGGGGAUAACUACUGGAAACGGUAGCUAAUACCGCAUAACGUCGCAAGACCAAAGAGGGGGACCUUCGGGCCUCUUGCCAUCGGAUGUGCCCAGAUGGGCUUGGCUUGUUGGUGGGGUAACGGCUCACCAAGGCGACGAUCCCUAGCUGGUCUGAGAGGAUGACCAGCCACACUGGAGCUUAGACACGGUCCAGACUCCUACGGGAGGCAGCAGUGGGGAAUAUUGCACAAUAGGCGCAAACCUGAUGCAGCCAUGCCGCGUGUAUUAAGAAGGCCUUCGGGUUGUAAAGUACUUUCAGCGGGGAGGAAGGGAGUAAAGUUAAUACCUUGGCUCAUUGACGUUACCCGCAGAAGAAGCACCGGCUAACUCCGUG
rnacentral:rRNA from 1 species